GCACGGAGUUAGCCGGGGCUUCUUCCACCGGUACCGUCAUUAUCGUCCCGGUCGAAAGGAGUUUACGUCCCAAGGGACUUCAUCCUCCACGCGGCGUUGCUGCGUCAGGGUUUCCCCCAUUGCGCAAAAUUCCCCACUGCUGCCUCCCGUAGGAGUCUGGACCGUGUUUCAGUUCCAGUGUGGCCGUGCGCCCUCUCAGGCCGGCUACCGAUCAAAGGCUUGGUGGGCCGUUACCCCGCCAACUACCGUAAUCGGGCGCGACCCCCUCCUAAAGCCGAUUGCUCGUUUCCUCUCAAGGAUCUUCCCCUCGAGACGAUAUGCGGUAUUAGCCCCGGUUUCCCGAGGUUAUUCCCCGCUUCAGGGUAGGUUAGUCACGUGUUACUCACCCGGUCGCCACUGUACUCAUCCCCUUGCGGGGACUUUCUCGUUCGACUUGCAUGUGUUAGGCACGCCGCCAGCGUUGAUU
rnacentral:rRNA from 1 species